CAAUAGCGUAUAUUAAAGUUGUUGCGGUUAAAAAGCUCGUAGUUGGAUUUCUGCUGAGAACGACCGGUCCGCCCUCUGGGUGUGUAUCUGGCUCUUUCUUGGCAUCUUCUUGGUGAACGUUGCUGCACUUGACUGUGUGGAGCGCUACCCAGGACUUUUACUUUGAGGAAAUUAGAGUGUUUCAAGCAGGCAUACGCCUUGAAUACAUUAGCAUGGAAUAAUAAGAUAGGACCUCGGUUCUAUUUUGUUGGUUUCUAGAGCUGAGGUAAUGAUUAAUAGGGAUAGUUGGGGGCAUUCGUAUUAACGCGUCAGAGGUGGAAUUCUUGGAUUGCGUUACGACGAACUACUGCGAAAGCAUUUGCCAAGGAUGUUUUCAUUGA
rnacentral:rRNA from 1 species